AACAGUUCACUUCAUCAAUGAGUUGUUCAUCCAUAAUCACUGCUGCUUAAAAAAAUGGACAGUGACGAUAUCUGCUCUUUCUGUAUCCUCUCCACCAUGAAGUCCUGUCGAAGGAGGAAAUAUCGCUCUGUUUCCAGCUCUGUUGCUAUGGACCGCGUCAUCAUUGGACCAAUUGCUUGGGACAAGUCAACUAAGUGAGCUGGUUACACCAAAACAUCCCAUAAUGUCAUAUCAUGAAGACGUUUCUCUUAUACACAAGACAUGAAACUAUUUUAAAAACUGGUUUAACCUUUUAUAAUCAAACUUUUCACACUCACACACAGCCUGCUCUGAUUCUUCUGUCCUUUGUAAUGAUUGUGUAACAAAUCAACAAUAACAAAGAAAUAAUAAAAUGUAUUAAAAAAAACAUGUUACCAAACUCUU